UAGCCUUCAGAGGGAAGCAGCAGUACCAACACUGCGGUCUCAGACUUCUAGCCUCCAGAACUGGCAGAAAAUAAUUAUCUGUGGCUUGAGCCGCCUAGUUCGCAGUACUUGCUCCCCAACCUAUCUGGAAGACCCCCUUGCAGGCUGCAACCCUUUAUAAAAAAUAGAGAGAAGAACUAAAUAAAUAAAGAGAUAACACAUGUUCAUGGAUAAGAAGACUCAAUAUUGUCAAGAUGUCAUUUCUUCCCAAAUUGAUCUAUAGACUCAAUGGAAUCCCAAUCAGAAUCUCAGCAAGUUAUAUUGUGAUUAUAGACAAACUUAUUCUAAACUUUAUAUGGAGAGGCAAAAGACCCAGAAUAGCCAACACAAUAUUAAAGAAAAAAACAAAGUUAGAGGACCGUCAUUACCUGACUUUGAGGUCUUCUGGCAAUGUUCUCUUUAACCCAUGAUGAGAAUUAAGAGGACUUUUGACUAAUUAUGAGGCAAUGAAUGUACCAUUAAAGUUUCUCACCUACAUUGGAACUUUAUCUUUUAACUAUCACCAUAUAAGGUUAUUUAUGUAGAAAGCUGAUAAUUUCCUAACUUAUUCUACGUUUUAUUUUUUGUUUUUGAGACACGGUAUCUCUCACUCUGUCGCCCAGGCUGGAGUGCAGUGGNNNNNNNNNNAAAGUGCUGGGAUUACAGGCAUGAGCCACAGCACCCAGCUAAGCUUUAUGUGUAUGUAUUCUUUAAUCAAAUAUCUAUUGUGUAUGACAUUAACUGCAGGUAUAAGGAGAUAAGACAAGAUUACAGAUGUUUAUUGAGUGCCUGCCAUGUACCAGGCACUGUGCUAAGUUUAAUGAAUGAGGUUUGGUACCUUCACUAAUAUUUACAACUUAAUGCAAGAGGCAAGGUGUAGACAUACACUUCCUGCAGUUGGAGUGCAGCAGUUCUUACGAGGAGGAAGAGUUGGUUUGAGGUUGCACCACAAGAAGUUUAUAUGCACCUGACCUACCUGAAGUCUACACCUCCCUUUCAAGAUGAAUUAACGUGUAAAGGGUGCUCCCCACUAACAGAGGGGAAGCCAGCAAGUUAAUACCUGAUCACACCUUUUAUAGAGCACUGUGGUUAACAAUCUGCCUUCCCAAAGUAACUCAUUUAACCUUCAUAACAAUAAGAAGCAGUUGUUCUAAGAAGCCUUCGUGUCUCUGUCUGAGAUGG
rnacentral:lncRNA from 1 species